UACGUAGGGGGCUAGCGUUGUCCGGAAUCAUUGGGCGUAAAGAGCGUGUAGGCGGCCCGGUAAGUCCGCUGUGAAAGUCGGGGGCUCAACCCUCGAAAGCCGGUGGAUACUGUCGGGCUAGAGUGCGGAAGAGGCGAGUGGAAUUCCUGGUGUAGCGGUGAAAUGCGCAGAUAUCUGCAGGAACACCCGUGGCGAAAGCGGCGCGCUGGACCACUACUGACGCUGAGGAACGAAAGCUAGGGGAGCAAACAGG
rnacentral:rRNA from 1 species